rnacentral:rRNA from 1 species
UACGUAGGGUGCGAGCGUUAAUCGGAAUUACUGGGCGUAAAGGGCGCGUAGGCGGCCUGUUAAGUCGAACGUGAAAUCCCCGGGCUCAACCCGGGAACUGCGUCCGAUACUGGCAGGCUUGAAUCCGGGAGAGGGAUGUGGAAUUCCAGGUGUAGCGGUGAAAUGCGUAGAUAUCUGGAGGAACACCGGUGGCGAAGGCGGCAUCCUGGACCGGUAUUGACGCUGAUGCGCGAAAGCCAGGGGAGCAAACGGG